rnacentral:rRNA from 1 species
UACGGGGGGGGGCAAGCGUUUGUUCGGAAUUACUGGGCGUAAAGGGCUCGUAGGCGGCCAACUAAGUCAGACGUGAAAUCCCUCGGCUUAACCGGGGAACUGCAUCUGAUACUGGAUGGCUUGAGAUUGGGAGAGGGAUGCGGAAUUCCAGGUGUAGCGGUGAAAUGCGUAGAUAUCUGGAGGAACACCGGUGGCGAAGGCGGCAUCCUGGACCGGCAUUGACGCUGAGGCGCGAAAGCCAGGGGAGCAAACGGG